CGCGUCAACACAAUGGCAGCGUUAGCCAUGGCACAAAUUUCACUCUGACCCAACAGUCGUUUUCCACCCCGUACAUGUGAUACAGCGGGCCACGGUGAUGCUAAAUGCUGCCAUUUCAUUCGUCACUGUCCGCUUUUAUAUAGGGGCCUAUGCGACAGAUGCUCCGCCGCUCUCCAGACACAAAUCAUCGCUUCAUCGAACUGCGUUGAGGGGAUCCACAGACUUUAAAUAUGUGUGGUGUGGAGAGAGGAGGAAGAUGGGGCAAUGAAGUUUGACUCUGCGCCAACGGUUGCAAGCUCAAUGUAAACACGUUCCAGGAAGGCGCUUUGCUAACCUACAUUUCUUAUUCAGGUGCCAAUAUGUUACAAAUGUUAAUUGCUUCAGCGGCCCGUGCUUGCUUGAGGCAAGGUUAUGCCAGCACUGCACGCAAUGCAUCUUGUUCUGGAACAUGGCAGUCACUUCUACUCGACAGAGAGAGAAACCCCCAGGCAAGCAAGGAGAUAUCAGCUCGAGUGAACCAAAUGCAGGUUUGUCAUCUGAUUUCUUGGGAGCCUGGUAGAGAUAGAUGCCACCAGUCUACAAGGCAGGACAUUUAUCUGCAUCCAGGUGGAGGCUUGCUACCAGCAGGAACAUGCAGCACUCUGUGUCAGUAAGUCAUGAUAUGAUUGUUUUCUUUACAUCGCAUGGUACUAUUACAAUAGUAUCAAGAGUACUAAUAGUACUCAUAUGAGUGGAGAAGCCCUAGGCACCAUACACCUGUAUAAUCCUAGAGUAACUCACUGUCAGUGAGACUGUGAUUAGAGGAUUAGGCAGGAGGCCAGUGGGAGGUCAGGGGUGAGGGUUCUAUUUCAAGCACACUCACUACGUCUAUCAGUCUUUCUCCACGUACUACAGAGACAGAAUGGUUCAAUGACCUCCAGAGCCUUCUGACCAACUUCCUGCAAUCUCUCCAGAGCACAGAGAAGUGAGUCUUCUGUGUUAUGGAACUCAAGAACAGCACAUAAAAAAAACCUGCCACUCUGUUGUCAGCUAUCCGCAGACAGUUCCCCGAGGAAAGAUGCAACUAACUAACUAAAGGUUAAUUUGUGGAAUUUUUUCCUUCUUAAUGCGUUUGAGCCAAUUAGUUGUGUUGUGACAAUUUAGGGGUGGUAUACAGAAGAUA